rnacentral:snRNA from 1 species
AGUGUUGGAUUGUUCACCC